UGGGCUGUAGCUUAAUUAUAAGCAUUCCGUUUACGUUGGAAAGAUCACUUGAUUUAGUGUAGUUCAA
rnacentral:tRNA from 6 species